rnacentral:lncRNA from 10 species
CUGGGCCUUGAAGGAUGUGCAGGAGUUCACUAGGUAAAGAGCAGGGGAAAGGACAUUUCAAGGGAAGAAAACAGUUCAAGCAAAUGAGCUGACCCAUGGAAGAAAUCAUAUCAUUGAAACAAACAAAACUUAACAGCUGAAGCCUAGGUGGGUGGCAGCUGAAGCCCGAGGCACCGUUUCUGGCCAUUAGUACUAUAGUCCACCAAACUAGUCAGUCUUAAGUCAGAGCUUGCCCUGAUAACUUCCAAGAAAUGAUACCAUAUCAUAAACCAACAUUUUAAUAGCAUUAACAAUUUUUCCCCAAUGAAGCAAAUAAAUCCAAUUUGUACUUACCAUUUACUGGGCACUACAGUGCCAAAACACUAUGCUAUUUACAACAGGACCUCACUUAAUCCUUACCAUGUCCCGUGGAAUACAGAUAACUUCAUUUUAUACAUGAGGAAACAGGCUUUUAAGCAAUAUUCCCAAGAUCACACAGAUAGUAUAUUAGAAAGUAAAGUGUUCAGCUGCAAAUACAAAUAGUGGUUUCUUUCUCCCCCUGUCCCCUCCCUGCCACAUAAAGUCUGAAAGUAGGCAGUUAAGUCAUUAGUUCAGUUAUUCAACAAUGCCACCAAAACACCUUCCAUCUUUCCUCCCCACCAUCUUUACAGUAUGAGCCACUGGCCCUGAUGUUUAUACAGUCUCCCAUUCCCUAUAAUGCUUUCUUAUUCUCAUCUUAAAGUCCUACCAGCCAGGAUUUUCUCAAGCUUUACUUUUUGAAAUAUUUCAGAGGUCAGCUCAAUACAACUCACUAAUUUCACAGAUGGAGAAAUAGAUUUGCCCCUAGCAAACUGAGUUAAAUUAAUUAGUUAAAUGAGCCUGGAAUUGAGUGCUCCUUCCAUGAUACCAAUCUAGUGGUGACUGUAAGUUGCCCACCAAAACCUGUCCUCCCAUUCCUUCUUGGCACAUGGCUUGACUACGUUUCUCAGCCUUCCUGGCAGGUAGGUGUGGCCAUCGGGCUAAGUCAUUGCCAAUGGAAAGUGAGAAUCAACAUGAUACGAGGAAUCUGUGUCCCUGAAUGACCAUUUGGUGCACAGCUGCCCCAAUGACC